rnacentral:lncRNA from 1 species
GGAAGAAGUUUUCAGUCUCAUCUGAGGCAUUGAGCUGCCUGGCUGGAUUCCAACACCAAACUUUGUUUCCCCACCAGCCCAGGUUACACUUGCUGAAAACUGUAACUUUCUAUUUGGAAGCAGGAUAGAAUUUUUACCUGGGAGUGGGACUCUGCCAGCAAUUUUUGACGUGAGAACUGGACGUACCAAACACAUUGCAGGGAAUAAUGCUUCAUUAGUUCUACUACUAACAGGGAUAUUUCAGGUUUGUCCUAUUUAUCUUCUUUUCAACUUACUUAUGUGUUUUGGGGAAAGAUAAGCUUCUUAAAAUAUGCACUAGGCAUCUGGAGAAGGUGCGAGUUGGUGACUGUGAUGGGCCUUGUCCCUCAGGAGAAAUUCCCAUGUAGAGCUGGAGCUGCCCUAAGAAAGGUCUUUCUCCUGCAUCGCUGAGCUCUAAUGCUGGACCUGCUGCUUGAACCAUUAGAUUUAUACGCAAUUUUCCUGAAGAGCUCAAAGCAAAGUGGAGAUUGUAAUUUUAUAAGACAUACAUACAGUAAAAUCUUGCUACAAC